GGACGGACUUCUGGAGAGAUUUUCUCUGUGCUGACCAAGCUGUUAAGUGCAGAGAGAACGCCGAAGGGGCAAGGUAGCCUAGACUACUCAAACUCUCAGGCAAAAGGACAGAAAUUCAGCC
rnacentral:ncRNA from 2 species